UGUUCCCAUCUCUGUAAGUUGCUUUAUAUAAAAGCGUCUGCUAAAUGACUUAAA
rfam:Larimichthys crocea isolate SSNF unplaced genomic scaffold scaffold31, whole genome shotgun sequence.